UGGAAGGGUUAAAGAUUCCACCACCCACCCACCGAAAGAAGGGAUAUCAUACACAAGAGAGAGAAAGAGAAGUGUUUUGCUUCCUCUGAUCUGGCGAAUCAUUCGUUCUAUCAAAAUUUCCCGAAAACUCCAAAACCCCCCUUUUAGAAAACUCGAUUAACAAUCUCAAUCUUCUUCAUCUCUCUAUCCUUCUCUUCCCCCAACCACAAUUUCAUUCAAAACUCUCUCUCAGGUGAUCAAGAGAAUCAAAGUUUGCUUAUCCAUAUUACAGAUCAUCUGAACAGAAGAGGGAGGGUACUGGUUUGCGGAGGCAAUUGGACUUCUGCGAGCUUAGAAUCCUCUCUCCUUUAUUUAUUUAUGAACGCAUUGUUAUUGGCCAGUGCUGCUGGGGUCUCCUUUUCUCAAAGCUUGCAUUUAGCGGCAUCAAUGUUUUGGUGAUC